rnacentral:rRNA from 1 species
CGGGUACUCGAGUGGCGAACGGGUGAGUAACACGUGGGUGAUCUGCCCUUCACUUCGGGAUAAGCCUGGGAAACUGGGUCUAAUACUGGAUAGGACCAUCGUUUAGUGUCGGUGGUGGAAAGUUUUUCGGUUGGAGGAUGAGCUCGCGGCCUAUCAGCUUGUUGGUGGGGUAAUGGCCUACCAAGGCGACGACGGGUAGCCGGCCUGAGAGGGUGGACGGCCACAUUGGGACUGAGACACGGCCCAG